GUUGUAUAGUUAAGUGACUAAGCGUACAAGGUGGAUGCCUUGGCAAUCAGAGGCGAAGAAGGACGUGCUAAUCUGCGAAAAGCUUGGAUGAGUCGAUAAGAGGCGUUUAAUCCAAGAUAUCCGAAUGGGGAAACCCAGUAGAUGAAGAAUCUACUAUCAACAAGUGAAUUCAUAGCUUGUUGAGGCAAACCGGGAGAACUGAAACAUCUAAGUACCCCGAGGAAAAGAAAUCAACCGAGAUUUCGUCAGUAGCGGCGAGCGAAAGCGAAAGAGCCAGUAAGUGAUAGCAGUAUAGUGAGGAGAAUGUGUUGGGAAGCACAAUCAAAGAGGGUGAUAAUCCCGUAUCUAAAAACCAUAUUGUGGUACUAAGCUAACGAGAAGUAGGGCGGGACACGUGAUAUCCUGUUUGAAGAAGGGGGGACCAUCCUCCAAGGCUAAAUACUCCUGAUUGACCGAUAGUGAACCAGUACUGUGAAGGAAAGGCGAAAAGAACCCCGGUGAGGGGAGUGAAAUAGAACCUGAAACCUUGUACGUACAAGCAGUGGGAGCCC
rnacentral:rRNA from 1 species